rnacentral:rRNA from 1 species
UGCGUAGGUGGACGUGUAAGUGCUUUGUGAAAUACCUCGGCUUAACCGAGGAACUGCUUGGCAAACUGCACGUCUUGAGGUCGGCAGGGGUUGCCGGAACUCUAGGUGGAGCGGUGAAAUGCGUAGAUAUCUAGAGGAACGCCAACGGUGAAGACAGGCAACUGGGCCGAUUCUGACACUGAUGCACGAAAGCGUGGGGAGCAAACG